GGUGGCGGGUGCUAUACUGCAGUCGAGCGGACUGAUGGGAGCUUGGUCCCUGAUGUUAUCGGCGGACGGGUGAGUAACACGUGGGUAACCUGCCUGUGAGACUGGGAUAACUCCGGGAAACCGGGGCUAAUACCGGAUGGUUGUCUGAACCGCAUGGUUCAGACAUAUGAGGUGGCUUCGGCUACCACUUACAGAUGGACCCGCGGCGCGUUAUCUAUUUGGUGAGGUAACGGCUCACCAAGGCGACGAUGCGUAUCCGACCUGAGAGGGUGAUCGGCCACACUGGGACUGAGACACGGCCCACACUCCUACGGGAGGCGGCAGUAGGGAAUCUUCCCCAAUGGACAAAAGUCUGACAGAGCAACGCCCCGUGAGUGAUGAAAGUUUUCUGAUCGCAAAGCUCUGUUGUUAGGGAAGAACAAGUGCCGUUCAAAUAGGGCGGCACCUUGACGGUACCUAACCAAAAAGCCACGGCUAACUACCUGCCAGCAGCCCCGGUAAUACCUAGGUGGCAAGCGUUGUCCGGAAUUAUUUGGCGUAAAGGGCUCGCAGGCGGUUUCUUAAGUCUGAUGUGAAAGCCCCCGGCUCAACCCGGGAGGGUCAUUGGAAACUGGGGAACUUGAGUGCAGAAAAAGAGAGUGGAAUUCCACGUGUAACGGUGAAAUGCCGUAGAGAUGUGGAGGAACACCCAGUGGCGAAAGGCGACUCUCUGGGUCUGUAACUGACGCUGAGGAGCGAAAGCGUGGGGAAGCGAAACAGGAUUAGAUACCCUGGUAGUCCACGCCGUAAACGAUGAGUGCUAAGUGUUAGAGGAUUCCGCCCAUAUGCUGCAGCCUAACGCAUAAGCACUCCGCCUUGGGGAGUACGGUCGCUAGGACG
rnacentral:rRNA from 1 species